GAUUCGUAUCAUGCACAUGUUUGAAUACAUCUGAACACUGAAAAGCGAUCUCAAGAGGCGUCAGGCUAACAAUCAAGGCCAUGUUCUUUACGAUAAGACAAGAAUAUAAGUAGUGGUGUUUCUCCGAUCAAGCGAUAGCUCGCCAAGACCAACUCAGUACAAAAUUCAGCAUCCCGGAGUUUCAGAGAGAGUGACACACACACAAUGGCCGGAGGAGGAGGAGAUGAGCUGAAGCUGCUGGGCAUGUGGGCGAGCCCGUUCGCGCUGCGAGCGAGGCUGGCGCUCAGCUUCAAGGGCCUGAGCUACGAGUACGUCGAGGAGGAUCUCAAGAACAAGAGCCAGCUGCUUCUCAGCUCCAACCCGGUGCACAAGAAGGUCCCCGUGCUCAUCCACAACGGCAAGCCUGUCUGCGAGUCGCAGGUCAUCGUGCAGUACCUCGACGAGGCGUUCCCGGCAGCCGGCGUCUCCCUCCUCCCCUCCGACCCCUACGACCGCGCCGUCGCGCGUUUCUGGGCCGCCUACAUCGACGACAAGCUGUUGAAGUCAUGGGUGCAGGCGUCGAUGCGCCAGACGGAGGAGGAGAAGGCGGAGGCGAUGAAGGAGACUUUCGCGGCGGUGGCGAACUUGGAGGAGGCGUUCAGGGAGUGCUCCAAGGGGAAGCCCUUCUUCGGCGGCGACGCCGUCGGGUACGUCGACGUGGUGCUCGGCGCCACGAUCGGCUUCGUGCGCGUCGGCGAGGCGCUGCACGGGAUGAGGCUCUUCGACGCGAGCCGGAGCCCGCUCCUGGACGCGUGGCUGGAGCGCUUCGCGGCGCAGGACGCGGCCAGGGCGGUGUUGCCGGACACCAGCAGGCUGUCGGAGUAUGCCAAGAUGAAGCAGGCACAGUGGGCUGCCGCGGCGGCGGCGGCGGCGAACAACAGAAUGGCCGGAGGAGGAGGAGAUGAGCUGAAGCUGCUCGGGUUGUGGGAGCCCGUACGUGCUGCGGGCCAAACUGGCGCUCAGUUUCAAGGGCCUGAGCUACGAGAACCUCGAGGAGGACCUCCCCAACAAGAGCGACCUCCUCCUCCGCUCCAAUCCGGUGCACAAGAAGGUGCCCGUGCUCAUCCACGCCGGCAAGCCCGUCUGCGAGUCGCAGAUCAUCGUGGAGUACCUCGACGAGGCAUUCCCCGGCGCCGGCGGUCCUUCUCUCCUCCCCUCCGACCCCUACCACCGCGCCAUUGCUCGCUCGACAUAUAUUGCCUACUCAAUUGAUGGUUACUACGUACGCAUAAAUAUUGCCAACUGAUGUGGUUCGUUUGAGCAGUUCACGCCGUCGUGGCAGAAGGCGUCGUUGGGGUUGACGGAGGAGGAGAAAGCGGAGGCGCUGAAGCAGAUGCUCGUGGCCGUCGACAACCUGGAGACGGCCUUCAAGGAGUGCUCCAAGGGGAAGCCCUUCUUCGGCGGCGACACCGUCGGCUACCUGGACAUCACGCUCGGCGCCGUCGUCGGCUGGGCUCGCGCCGGCGAGGUUCUGUUCGGGAGGAAGCUCUUCGAUGCCACUAGGAGCCCUCUCUUGGAGGCGUGGAUGGACCGCUUCGUCGCGCUGGACGUGGUGAAGGCGGUCUUGCCGGACAAUGGCAGGCUGAUCGAGUACGGCAAGAUGAGGAUGGCGCACUACGCCAAGCUCGCCGCCGCCGCCGCGGCUGCUGCGCACAGCAAGUGAACCAGAUCAGAUAACUUUGUUUAAUGCAUGCGUCGUCAGCUCUCAGUUGACCGCUGUCUCGUGGAGAGAAAGUUGAUGCGCCGUUGGUAGUUUUUCAUACUGUGGUUGCGAGUUGUGAGGUUCGUGCAGUCUGUUUGAUCAAAUCGUCAAUCGUGUGGUUGUUCCGGCGCAUACAUUUUUUAUUCAAUAAAGGGUCAUUCAUGGUGACAUUUAGAGCUCAUUUGUUCGUGGAGCAAUUUUAACGGUCCUCGGGAAAAUAACA